AUGGAUUUCAAUGACAGACGAAUUGAGCUAGCUAGCUCUAAUAGCCUGGCUCCAAUCGACUUUUGCUUCGGACGAAUCGAGCUAGCUAGCUCCAAUUUCCUCGAUGUAAAAUCGCGGCCGAACAUGCAGCCGGGCGGGAAGGGCGGAAGGACCAGCCGCAGAACUCCCGGCCUUGGCCAUGGCACGGUCGUCGCAGAUGACCACGGACCCGUCCGCCGCCACAACCCAGGACAGCUUGGCCGGAGGCGCGAAUGCCAGCUUCGAGCGUGGCGGCAGCCAUGGCCAGGUCGCGGAGGCCAGCGCGCAGCCAUGGCCAGCUCGCCCGGAAUGGAAUCUCGUGCGGAGGCCAGCUUCGAGCGCGGCGGUCGCCGACGAGCUCGCCCGGCGCGGAGUCCAGCCAGCGCGGCGGCUCGCUUGCUCGGGCAGCUCGCCUACAGCCGGCCCGGCAACACUAUGCAUACAAAGUGUUUGUAG
rnacentral:rRNA from 1 species